UAGGGAAUAUUGGACAAUGGGGGCAACCCUGAUCCAGCCAUGCCGCGUGAGUGAAGAAGGCCCUCGGGUUGUAAAGCUCUUUUGUCCGGAAAGAAAAGCUUCGGGUUAAUACCCCGGGGUUCUGACGGUACCGACAGAAAAAGCACCGGCUAACUACGUGCCAGCAGCCGCGGUAAUACGUAGGGUGCGAGCGUUAAUCGGAAUUACUGGGCGUAAAGGGUGCGCAGGCGGUCUUGCAAGUCAGAUGUGAAAGCCCCGGGCUUAACCUGGGAAUUGCGUUUGAAACUACAAGACUAGAGUGCAGCAGAGGGGAGUGGAAUUCCAUGUGUAGCAGUGAAAUGCGUAGAGAUGUGGAAGAACACCGAUGGCGAGGGCAGCUCCCUGGGUUGACACUGACGCUCAUGCACGAAAGCGUGGGGAGCAAACA
rnacentral:rRNA from 1 species